UGUGUGGCUCCACACCGGUGUGCACAGCCCUGUGUGUGUCCGUGCGUGUCCCUGAUCGGGAGGGAAUUUCCUGAAUGUGCCAGGGACACCGAGUGCUGCUGUGGCCCUGAGCAGCACAGGUCAGCAGCUUCGCAGGCUAGGAAGGAGCCUGAGUGCAGCCGAGUGGGGACGGCAGCUGCCUGCUCGAGAUAUGUGCAGGGAGGAGGCACAGAAAUGCAGACGCUGUGUCCUGAGCCCUCCUUCCCCUGCCUCUGCAAAGCUCCCGCUCGGCUGAUGCUGAUUUCAGGCCUACCAAGGGCGGAUUCACUCCUACUUCGAUGCUCAGCUGAGCUUAGCACAAACAACACGGGCGGGGACGGGACAUGGCUGUCUCUUGUCGCUGGUCGUGCCCAAAUUGUUGUGUCCCUGAUGGUGCUGGUGCUGUGAGAGGCGGGCGCUGAGGCCGGCCGGGGCGGAGCUGGCGGCGGUGGAGAGGAGGCGACAGGGCCGCAGCAGAGAGCCGGGGCUGAGGGGCCAGCGAUGCUCGGCGGGCGGAGCGGCGGCAUGAGGCGGUGUCGGGGCGCGGGGCUGGCGGCGCUGGCCGCGGUGCUGCUCGCGGCUGUGGUCAGAGGCCAGGUGCAGCAGGAGCCAUUCGUGGACACCACCGAGGGCACCAGUAUCAGGAUCAACUGCUCACAUCCCAAUAUCCGGAUGGGCGAUUUCAUCCAUUUCUUCCGUCACCGCCCGGGCCAAAGCCCAGAACUCGUGGCGCUCACUGCUAAAGAGUCCAAGGACGUGCGAGACCCUCCAGGGCGUCUGUGGGUGUCGGAGGAUCGGGGGAGCAGCGCGCUGUGGCUGUGGCGGCCCCGGCGCGGGGACGCGGCCGUGUAUUACUGCGCGCUGGGCGCACGGGCAGAGGAGCCGGGGCUGCGGCCGGGCACGAACCGCCGCGGGCGGGGCCGGCCUAAGAAGGCUCGGUCUUUGAAGGAGCCCAUACAAGGAUAA